GGAAGGAUCAUUACUGAAUUGUCAAACGGGCUGUUGCUGGUCCUCGAAUGGGGACAUGUGCACGCUCUGUUUACACAUCCACUCACACCUGUGCACCCUCUGUAGUUUUACGGUCUGGGGGACCCUGUCUUCCUUCCGUAGUUCUACGUCUUUACACACACACUGUAAUAAAGUCUUAUGGAAUGUAUGCCGCGUCUAACGCAACACAAUACAACUUUCAGCAACGGAUCUCUUGGCUCUCGCAUCGAUGAAGAACGCAGCGAAAUGCGAUAAGUAAUGUGAAUUGCAGAAUUCAGUGAAUCAUCGAAUCUUUGAACGCACCUUGCGCCCCUUGGAUAUUCCGAGGGGCAUGCCUGUUUGAGUAUCAUGAACACCUCAACUCUCAUGGUUUGCCAUGAUGAGCUUGGACCUUGGGGGUUUUGCUGGCCUGUGGUCGGCUCCUCUUAAAUGAAUCAGCCUCCCAGUGUUUGGUGGCAUCACGGGUGUGAUAACUAUCUACGCUCGCGGUUGUCCACCGGGUAACCUUUGGUGACAAAGGUUCGCUGGAGCUCACAGAUGUCUCUCCUCAGCGAGGACAGCUUUUUAACGUUCGAUCUCAAAUCAGGUAGGACUACCCGCUGAACUUAAGCAUAUCAAUAAGCGGAGGAA
rnacentral:sRNA from 1 species